GGGGCUGUGGCUCAGUAGUAGAGCAUAUGCUUAGCAUGUUUGAGGCCUGGGUUCACUCCCCAGCAUCUCUC
rnacentral:tRNA from 1 species